rnacentral:rRNA from 1 species
GAUGAACGCUGGCGGCGUGCCUAAUACAUGCAAGUCGAGCGAACAGACGAGGAGCUUGCUCCUCUGACGUUAGCGGCGGACGGGUGAGUACACGUGGAUAACCUACCUAUAAGACUGGGAUAACUUCGGGAAACCGGAGCUAAUACCGGAUAAUAUAUUGAACCGCAUGGUUCAAUAGUGAAAGACGGUUUUGCUGUCACUUAUAGAUGGAUCCGCGCCGCAUUAGCUAGUUGGUAAGGUAACGGCUUACCAAGGCGACGAUGCGUAGCCGACCUGAGAGGGUGAUCGGCCACACUGGAACUGAGACACGGUCCAGACUCCUACGGGAGGCAGCAGUAGGGAAUCUUCCGCAAAGGGCGAAAGCCUGACGGAGCAACGCCGCGUGAGUGAUGAAGGUCUUCGGAUCGUAAAACUCUGUUAUUAGGGAAGAACAAAUGUGUAAGUAACUAUGCACGUCUUGACGGUACCUAAUCAGAAAGCCACGGCUAACUACGUG